rnacentral:lncRNA from 1 species
UGCUAAAGGUAAGGCUUUCAAAAGAUGAAAAACAAGAAGGGAAAAUGAGAAUGAGUUUCCACUCUCUGGGGAAAGAGCUCAGCUUAAUGGUCCUUCCUGCUAUAAACCCUAUGAUUGCACAGACCUUUGCUUUUUUUUCUGCACUGAGGGUAGAACCAGCCCCACCCCCACCCUCUGGCUCCCCAACUAGGCUAUAUAUCCAACCUGCUUCAUACUCUAUCAGGUCUCCUAAGAUAAGCUCUGGCCUCUGUUCACUCCGGUAAUUUUCUCUUUUCAUUUCUGCUUCCAGUCAUAUUGUCCUGUUAUCAUCAUCCCGUGAAACUAUAUUAGAACCUCCCUCAUCAUGGCCUGUUCCUUUCAUCACUACUAGGCAAGUUGUCAUCUUGGAGGAUCUACCCUCCAUGAACAGCAGAGAGUCUCAGGAAGGAACAGUUGGCAUCAGCCUUGACCAUGAAUCUGUCAACUUACACUCUUUUCAUAUGUUCUCUUUAACAUGAGAAAGGUAGAACAAAACUGAAACCCAAGAUGGCCUAACCUCAUUUUAAAUACCACCCAGAGUUCCUGAGGAGUAACUGUCAUGAACUGCAUUUCAGAAGUGCUGUGGAGAUUAAACCUAAAGACACAAGGACGGGACACAUCAUCAGGGGUAGACGUUGAAGACUAGACCAAUAAUCUUGGCAGGAAAACCUAGAGCCCUCUCUAAAAGGAGAUGUCUUGAACCAUCUUUACAGGGAAAAGCAAGGAUCACUGCCAUCAGUGCAGGUUCAUUAAGAGCAAAGCACGUGGGCUAUGGACCUUGGCAUACUCCUGUAAUGCCAGAAUUUGGGAGGCAGGAAGAUCAUGAGUUGAGGGCCAUCCUGAGCUACAUAGCAAGUUUGAAGCUAACCUAGGCUACACAAGAUCUC